rnacentral:lncRNA from 1 species
CAGAUGAGAUAGCUUCAGCACAUAUGAUUUGUCUGAGCAAAUCAUUCCUGAAUUUUAGUUAAAUGAUAAAUAAACCAGGGUUUUAAACAAUGUAGCAUCCAGUGGUAUUGAUGUACCACAUUUAAGUUGAAUUGCUCUGCAUUAAUUUCAAACUUAAUAUCAUAGAAUAAGUAGAUUAUGGAUUGGAAUUGUCAAAAUUUCAGCCUGGGUGUGGCAAGUACAGAUCCUUAAACAAAAAUCAUGUUAUCAAAAGUGCCAGUUAUCUUAGUAAUCGUGUGCAGCCCACCUGUGUUACCUCAGUCAUUCUGUUCUUUGCCAAAUUUCUGGCAGACUUAGUAUAAUCUGUAUUAUGGUCAUUUUAGUACUUUGUUGUGGUUAACAGAGGCGUUAAACUGUUGUGUGACUGUUAGCAAGUCAUAUUGUAAAGAAGGCCCAAAGGACAGUGGCAGAGGGUGUUGGUAAAAGCUGUAGCUUUUUAUUUGAGCCCUUUGUAAUCAGCAUAAAAAUAGGAAGUUUCUGUUUGCAUUUUUAACUUUUGUUUUCUCUAUUUAAAGGAGUGACAUGCUUUACAGGAUACUAUGCAGUACUUUUUAUCGAUUAUGUUGAAUAGUUGAUAUUUGUAGUAAUCACUCCUUUCUAGACAUUUUUAAGUAGACUUUUUUUGACAUCAGAGUAUUUGUUAAACAAAAACUGGAAAUUCUUAAAUUAUUUGGAAUGCUUGUUAAAUUUAUGUAUGUUUUUUCUAACAUGAAAGUGAAUCAUAGAAGAAAAGUUACUUUAUAUGAUUAUUAUUUAACUUAAGUAUGUAUUUAUCUGAUUGUCAUGUGACUUAAUUCACUUAACUGGUAUGAAAUAUAGCUAGGAAAGAUUUCUAUAAACUGAAUUACUUUUAAAAGUAUUUUAGGUGAUUCUGUUACAUUUCUGUUCAGUCUUUUGGAUCAUAUAUCUCUCUAUUUCCAGAAUUCUAGGCAUUAUAUCACAGGGUUUGUGAGGACUCAGUAACAGCCAUUAUAUUGCAGUGAAACUUAGAACAAAAUCACCAUUUCAGUAAUACUUUCAUUCUCUAAGACU